GGGAUGGGGGGAAGCUUGGAUGGAUAGGCUGAUCAUUUGUUUCUCUGUCAUCCAUUGAGUGUCUGCUAUGUGCCUCUUUUAUUUUGAUGCCCGUCAUACAAAGAUACACACCCUAGCAUCCUUCUCCAGAUCAGGGUUACAGAGUAGAGAGAAAGACAGACACACCAACAAAUGAUUGUUGUGUCACCAGGGAUCUGGGGUUGCGGGUCUGUUUAGGAAGCCCUGGGAGUGGAGAGAAGGCGGCUGGCAGCUCAGGCCCCCAGCAGUUUUCUCGCACUUUCAUGUGCAAAUAGAGCCUCUGGAAUCUUGAUGAAAGGCAAGCUCUUUCUGAUUCACUAGGUCUGGGAUGCCAGCCUGAGAUUCUGUUUUCCCAUGCUGUGGGUCCUCGAACUUUGGGCAAAAGGGUUUUCAGAAAGCUGAAGAAGGUGAUGGCAUGAAGCCUUGAAGGAUGAAUCGGGUUUUACAAGGUAGAGGAGAAAAGAAAGAGUUCCCGGGCUGAGGGUAAAUGGUGCGCAGAGGCCCAGGGAGGGUGCAGGUUCAAGGCUAGCCUGGGAGGUGGUGGGAAGUCCAGUGCAGUUGGUUCUUGGUGGGGUAGGAGCUGAGAAGGAGAAGGUGGCCAAUCAGAUUGCAGAGAUUCUUGCUCCCUGGGCUGAGGGAUGCAGACAGUCCCGAAAGGGCGAGAGUCUCAGAGGCUCAUUCAGAAAGUAAUCUAAUGGAAUAAUUUUUAGAAAGACCGUUUUAUUGACAGGCUGAUAGUAAUUUGCUUUGCCACUGAUCAUUUAUUUUUAUUUUUUUAUUUUUAUUGUUUGUCUUUUUGCAUAUGGAGGUCGCAGAUGUGGCUUGGAUCUGGCGUUUCUGUGGCUGGGAUAUAGGCUGGCAGCUGUAAGUCUGAUUCGACCCCUAGCCUGAGAAUUUCCAUAUGCUGCAUGGGUGGCCCUAAAAAAAAUAAUAAUUUAAAUAAUAAUUAAAUAAAUAAAUUCAAAACCGGAGACAUUUCCUCUGUUGGUGUCUAGGAUUGUCUUAAAUAUUAUAAUGGAUUUGUAUAUAUUUUGCUGAAAGCAUGAGAGUGGGCACCUCUGUUUACUAAAACUUCUCUUUGUAAUGAGAAUUGAAAUAUAUUGUUCUUAGAAAAAGGGUGUGAGGGAAAUGGGAGAUCUGUCUUUAAAGAAGAGAUUUCGUUUAGGUCUUAACAUGGAAAAGAAUAAAUUUAAGGAGUUACUGUUGUGGGCGCAGCAGAAACGAAUCUGACUAGUGUCCGUGAAGUUGCAUGUUCAGUCCCUGUCCUUGUCCCGUAGGCCGGGGAUCCGACAUAACUGUGGGUUGUGGUGUAGUUUGCAGGUGUGGUUUGGAUCCCAUAUUCCUGUGGCUGUGGUGUAGGCCAGCCGCUAUAGCUCCUCUUCAAUGCCCAGCCUGGGAACUUCCAUAUGCCGCAGGUGUGGACUCAAAUAGCAAAAGGAAAGGAGACGAGAGAGGAGGGGAGGGAAGGAGAGGACAGGACAGGACAGGACAGGAGAGGGUAAAUUUGAAAACAACAAACAAAACCAGAGACAUUUCCUUAAAGCAAGGUCUCUUGAUUUGGGGCACUACUGACCUUAUAGGCAGACGCUUGUUUCUUGCAAGGUGGGGGAGCUAUCCUGUGCAUUGUAGGAUUUCAUUAGCAGUUCCCCACGAGAUGCCGGGAGCAUCUACCUCCCCGCCUGUGACAGUCCGAGAUGACUCCAGAUGUUGGCAGUUAUACCUGGGGUGGCACGGCUGAGAGCCACUGCUCUAAAGCAUGACAUGUGUCAUUCUUUGUCUUCGCUUCGUGGAAGCCCAGAGCCUUCAAAUAGUCAGCAGCCCUGAGAGAUUCCUGGAAGCGGUUCUGUUGAAGAGCAUCCCUUCUGAGCCAGAUCGAUCUGCUUGCAGCAGCAAGGAGAGGCGAACCUGGCCUGACAUGAGCAGCACAAAUGCAUCUGCUUUUCAAGUCUGUUUUAAAAGGGAUGAAAUUAUUUGCCUCUUCCGUCUAUUUCUCAGCCCUUUCUCCCUUAUUUUUUUUUUUCUGGCCACGCCUGAGGGGCAUGUGAAAUCUCCUGGGCUAGGGAUGGAACCCACAUCACGGCAGUGAACUGAGCCACUCCAGUGCCAACGUCAGGUCCUUAACCCACUGAGCCACACGGGAACUCCCCCUUACCCUUUCUUGAUGCAUAAGGAGCUGUUGAUGAAAACAUAGAGCAUAAAAGUUUCAUGUCCUUAACGUCUGCGCAUGUGUUUGGAGUUCUAAGAAUACUUGUUAGGUAAAAUAAUACCCAGAAUAGACUCCCACGGAUGAUAUUGAAUGUCUCGUAAUUUCCUGUCCGUCGUCAGAUCAGAUCAGGUGGGCUGAUUUUUAUACAACCUGAGCUGAUGUCUCCUGAUUUUUCUCCCUUUAAAUGUGCUUGGUCAACUUUAAUAAACAAACCAAAAAAAUGUCCUGGUGAUUAUGCAUAACUGUAGCAUGCCAUGUUAGGGAAUAUUAUUGUGAAAGGCAUGAACGAAUGAAACAAGCUUAUGCUUUCUCAAGUAUGUUUUGUCUGGGAGGGUAGAGAGAGAGGCAGUAUAAGGUAGUGGUUACAUAGCUUGGGCUCCAGCUUGAAAUAGGCGAGGGUUCAAGUCAGAGUCCUAACCUCAUUCCAAGACUGGGCAAGCUAACCUCUCCAAGACCAAGUUCGUAAGUUCCCUGAUCUGGAAGGGAAAGGGGAGGAUUAAAUGAAAGUAUGGGAGGAUUAAAUGAACGCGGGGUGUAUUAAGGGCUUAGCUGGAUGCCUGGCAUGUUAAAAAAAAAAAAAGAAAAAAAGAAAAAAAA
ensembl:lncRNA